UACGAAGGGGGCUAGCGUUGUUCGGAAUUACUGGGCGUAAAGCGCACGUAGGCGGACUUUUAAGUCAGGGGUGAAAUCCCGGGGCUCAACCUCGGAACUGCCUUUGAUACUGGAAGUCUUGAGUAUGGAAGAGGUAAGUGGAAUUGCGAGUGUAGAGGUGAAAUUCGUAGAUAUUCGCAGGAACACCAGUGGCGAAGGCGGCUUACUGGUCCAUUACUGACGCUGAGGUGCGAAAGCGUGGGGAGCAAACAGGG
rnacentral:rRNA from 1 species